rnacentral:rRNA from 1 species
ACGAGAAUAUUCCGCAAUGGACGAAAGUCUGACGGAGCGACGCCGCGUGAUGGAUGAAGUGCCUUGGUACGUAAACAUCUUUUAUCGGGGACGAAGUUUAUUGACGGUACCCGAUGAAUAAGGAGCUCCUAACUCUGUGCCAGCAGGAGCGGUAAUACAGAGGCUCCAAGCAUUACCCGGAAUCACUGGGCGUAAAGGGUGCGCAGGCGGCUCCGCGUGUCAGACGUGAAAUCCCCGGGCUCAACUUGGGAAUGGCGUUUGAAACUACGGAACUGGAGUGUGGCAGAGGGAGGUGGAAUUCCACGUGUAGCGGUGAAAUGCGUAGAGAUGUGGAGGAACACCGAUGGCGAAGGCAGCCUCCUGGGCCAACACUGACGCUCAUGCACGAAAGCGUGGGGAGCAAACAGGAUUAGAUACCCGCGUAGUCCCUGAGCGGGCUGGCAAGGCGCAU